rnacentral:rRNA from 1 species
AUUGAACGCUGGCGGCAGGCCUAACACAUGCAAGUCGAGCGGAGCGGCGGACGCGUGCGUAUUGCCUAGGUAUCUGCCUGGUAGUGGUGGAGAACGACCGCUAAUGGGCGCUAAUACCGCUACCUAUCACAUGUGCCUAGGUCGGAUUCGCUAGUUGGUGGGGUAAAGGCCUACCAAGGCGACGAGCCGUAACUGGUCUGAGAGGAUGAUCAGUCACACUGGAACUGAGACACGGUCCAGACUCCUACGGGAGGCAGCAGUGGGGAAGUUUGGACAAUGGGCGAAAGCCUGAUCCAGCCAUGCCGCGUGUGUGAAGAAGGUCUUCGGAUUGUAAAGUACUUUAAGUGGGGAGGCGUUACCAGCAGAAUAAGCACCGGCUAACUUCGUGCCAGCAGCCGCGGUAAUAC